rnacentral:rRNA from 1 species
AUUGAACGCUGGCGGCAGGCUUAACACAUGCAAGUCGAGCGGAUGAAGGGAGCUUGUUCCUGGAUUCAGCGGCGGACGGGUGAGUAAUGCAUAGGAAUCUGCCUGGUAGUGGGGGAUAACGUCCGGAAACGGGCGGUAAUACCGCAUACGUCCUGAGGGAGAAAGUGGGGGUUCUUCGGACCUAACGCUAUCAGAUGAGCCUAGGUCGGCUUAGCUAGUUGGUGGGGUAAAGGCCUACCAAGGCGACGAUCCGUAACUGGACUGAGAGGAUGAUCAGGCACCCUGGAACUGGACCAGGGACCAUAGGCCUACGGGACGCAGCAGUGGGGAAUGUUAGACAGCAGUCGAGAACCUUGUCCAGCCAGGCCACGUGUGUUGAAAAGAUCCUCGGAGUGUGAAGCACGUUAUGUGGUUGUAAACCGCAUUAAGUUAAGACCUUGCGGUAGUGACGGUACCAGCAGAAUAAGCACCGGCUAACUACGUG